GGGCACAUGGUGUAGCUGGUUAUCACGCUCGCUUUGCAUUCUUCUAAUGGCUGCGAGUGGUCUCCGGUUCGAUUCCGGAUGUGUCCA